UACGUAGGAGACGAGCGUUGUCCGGAGUUACUGGGCGUAAAGGGUGCGCAGGUGGCGGCGCGCGUGGGGGGUGAAAUCGCCCGGCUUAACUGGGCGGGGGCCUUCCAGACGGCGUGGCUUGAGCAGCGGAGGGGGACGUGGAAUUCCGGGUGGAGCGGUGAAAUGCGUAGAGAUCAGGAGGAACACCCGUGGCGAAGGCGGCCCCCUGGGUCGGCCCUGACGCUGAGGCGCGAAAGCGUGGGGAGCGAACGGG
rnacentral:rRNA from 1 species